rnacentral:rRNA from 1 species
CGAACGCUGGCAGCGUGGAUUAGGCAUGCAAGUCGAACGGGAUCGGGAAGGUAGCAAUAUCGGCCCGUGAGAGUGGCGGAAGGGCGAGGAACACGUGAGCAACCUGUCCUUGAGGUGGGAAAACCGUGGAAACGACGGCUAAUACCGAAUGCGGCGCCCGGAGACAUCUCCGGCGCGCUAAAGGGGGCCGCAAGGCUCCCCCUCUUCGAGGGGCUCGCGCACCAUCAGCUUGUUGGCGGGGUAACGGCCCACCAAGGCUCACGGUUAGCUGGUCUGAGAGGAUGGCCAGCCGCACUGGGACUGAGAUACUGCCCAGACUCCUACGGGAGGCUGCAGUCGAGGAUCAUUCGCAAUGGGGGAAACCCUGACGAUGCGACGCUGCGUGGAGGAUGAAGGCCCUCGGGUCGUAAACUCCUGUCAUGAGGGAAAAGGCGAAGGGACCCAACACGUCCCCUAGUUGAUGGUACCUCAAGAGGAACGGGCGGCUAACUCUGUGCCAGCCGCCGC